UGAGACAUUGCUGAUUGGUCGACCGCGCUGUUGGACGGACCACAGUUCUUGUUCCGCCCAUAUCGAGGAUGCAAUUGAUGCAUCCUUCUGCAGACUUGGGUAAGCUAGGUUUCCCAUAAUGCACUCACCAGCGGCGGUCAAUGGAGAAGACUGGCCGAAAACUUUCACCCUUCCAGAUGCUCCUCCUGACUCUAAUGCACCUGAGGCUGCAUCUUCCCUUCCCUAUGGCACACCUGUUCUGCAUCGACCGAUCAACUGUGUCCACCAUGUUCACAAAUAGACCAUAGAUGUCAUGUUUACACACCUUGCUGCGGGGUAACAUACCACUGAGCAUGGUGCUGCCAUGUGAAGGUGAGGAGGUGGUUUUACUGGACAAAAUUGUGACAGUGUGCUGUGAUCUGACCAAUAUGUCUCCCAGUAUUGUUUUGAAAGUGUAAACCCUAACAACUUUGUGAAACUUGUGUUAAGCAGAAAGCAGUGUACCUUGGUUUCCUUGUGUGAAUAAAUGAUGGACAAUUUAAAAGCUAUAUCUUUCCUGGAGUUUCAAGAAAUGGGACUGUUCUAAUUGGGAAUUUGCUCUGGAUCCAU